CACACUCACCAUUACCGGAGUAUUGCGGGCGGACGGGCCGUUCACCUGCCGGGCCUCCAACGCGGUUAGCGCGAAGACAAGCGAGCCGCUCCCUGUCAAUGUCUUUUACGGGCCGGAUAUUUCGAUUAUAGUUCCUGAACCCGCCAUCCCUGCUUACACUCCCGGGACCGACGUCACUUUAACCUGUUAUGCACAGUCUAAACCAGCUGCUGUGUUGAGCUGGUACCUUCAAGGUAACUUGGUCCAGAGUGGAGACGAACUCAACAUUCCCAAUGUUUCCAAUAAAGACAUUGGGAGUUAUGUCUGUCAGGCCUUUAACGAUGUAACCGGAAGGUACAUUUCCUCAUCAAUAGAAAUCGAUGUUCUGGAACCGGUGGGGAAUGUUAGUCUACGAUCCACUAAUUCUCACCCAGUGGAACAGCGAGACUCCGUCUUAUUGACGGGCAGCUCCCAGGGAACUCAUCUGAAGCGGGAAUGGUUUUUCAACAACCACCCCAUCCAGCAGAAUGACAGGAUAACUAUAUCCGGAUACAUUCUGCUUAUUGGCCCAGU